GGAUGCUCUGAAUGAUGACAAGAGACCCUGUAGCAACACUGGUGAUCAGCAACAGCUAACAAAAAGGACACCAGGCUAGCUCGUUCAUGCCCCUUCGGCGCUCUGAUGGCCUCCGUUCACUUUCAUUUAACAGGCUGUUCCUGGAGCGCCACCAACUGUUGUCUACCUUUCCUGAGAGGAACUUAAGCUGAGCACGAAGCCAGCUCGUGGGCAGUGGCUGCUUCUUACUCACACAAAGGCUGCCGGGAGGAUGUGUGCUCUUCCCACCUUCACAUUGCUGUAUAUUCCUGGCGCCAUCUUUAGUCUCCUUCAAGAUACACACGUGUUGUCCUCUCUUCACAAACGAGGAAUCUAAGGCUCUGCAGGAUGAACUUUCAAUGAGCAGGCACCUGAAGCUGUGGCAGUUGCCACAAAAGGCCCAGUCAUGGGAACAAUCGAGGAGGAAUCAAAACACCGCUCAGCUGAAGAUAGGCAGCCACAUCUGGGCAGGGCUGGUGUCACAUGCUCCAGAGCAAAUUCACCAUCAAGGGCAGCCAAGGUCAGGAAGGAGUCUUUCGAUGAGAUGAGGAAACCUCGAAGUCCCCAGUGUGGCGGCCGUCAGAUGUUAACUCUGAUCACAACAGUGUCGGUACCUCCAUGGCAAUGGGUCUCCAUGAGAAGAACCCAGGCACCAGAGACGCGUGGCCAGGUCUCAGUCUCUGAGAUGGGUGCUUGCUUCAGA